GGAGCUGAAGUCAGUCGAAGAUACCAGCUGGCUGCAACUGUUUAUUAAAAACACAGCACUGUGCAAACACGAAAGUGGACGUAUACGGUGUGACGCCUGCCCGGUGCCGGAAGGUUAAUUGAUGGGGUCAGCGCAAGCGAAGCUCCUGAUCGAAGCCCCGGUAAACGGCGGCCGUAACUAUAACGGUCCUAAGGUAGCGAAAUUCCUUGUCGGGUAAGUUCCGACCUGCACGAAUGGCGUAAUGAUGGCCAGGCUGUCUCCACCCGAGACUCAGUGAAAUUGAACUCGCUGUGAAGAUGCAGUGUACCCGCGGCAAGACGGAAAGACCCCGUGAACCUUUACUAUAGCUUGACACUGAACAUUGAGCCUUGAUGUGUAGGAUAGGUGGGAGGCUUUGAAGUGUGGACGCCAGUCUGCAUGGAGCCGACCUUGAAAUACCACCCUUUAAUGUUUGAUGUUCUAACGUGGACCCGUAAUCCGGGUUGCGGACAGUGUCUGGUGGGUAGUUUGACUGGGGCGGUCUCCUCCUAAAGAGUAACGGAGGAGCACGAAGGUUGGCUAAUCCUGGUCGGACAUCAGGAGGUUAGUGCAAUGGCAUAAGCCAGCUUGACUGCGAGCGUGACGGCGCGAGCAGGUGCGAAAGCAGGUCAUAGUGAUCCGGUGGUUCUGAAUGGAAGGGCCAUCGCUCAACGGAUAAAAGGUACUCCGGGGAUAACAGGCUGAUACCGCCCAAGAGUUCAUAUCGACGGCGGUGUUUGGCACCUCGAUGUCGGCUCAUCACAUCCUGGGGCUGAAGUAGGUCCCAAGGGUAUGGCUGUUCGCCAUUUAAAGUGGUACGCGAGCUGGGUUUAGAACGUCGUGAGACAGUUCGGUCCCUAUCUGCCGUGGGCGCUGGAGAACUGAGGGGGGCUGCUCCUAGUACGAGAGGACCGGAGUGGACGCAUCACUGGUGUUCGGGUUGUCAUGCCAAUGGCACUGCCCGGUAGCUAAAUGCGGAAGAGAUAAGUGCUGAAAGCAUCUAAGCACGAAACUUGCCCCGAGAUGAGUUCUCCCUGAGACUUUAGGUCUCCUGAAGGAACGUUGAAGACGACGACGUUGAUAGGCCGGGUGUGUAAGCGCAGCGAUGCGUUGAGCUAACCGGUACUAAUGAACCGUGAGGCUUAACCUUACAACGCCGAAG
rnacentral:rRNA from 3 species